UACGAAGGGGGCUAGCGUUGUUCGGAAUUACUGGGCGUAAAGCGCGCGCAGGCGGUCCUUCAAGUCAGAGGUGAAAGCCCAGAGCUCAACUCUGGAAUGGCCUUUGAGACUAGAGGACUUGGGUACGGAGAGGUGAGUGGAAUUCCGAGUGUAGAGGUGAAAUUCGUAGAUAUUCGGAAGAACACCAGUGGCGAAGGCGGCUCACUGGCCCGUUACCGACGCUCAGGCGCGACAGCGUGGGGAGGCCAAACAGG
rnacentral:rRNA from 1 species